UGGGGAAUAUUGCACAAUGGGGGAAACCCUGAUGCAGCGACGCCGCGUGAACGAAGAAGGUAUUCGUAUCGUAAAGUUCUGUCCUAUGGGAAGAUAAUGACAGUACCAUAGAAGAAAGCUCCGGCUAAAUACGUGCCAGCAGCCGCGGUAAUACGUAUGGAGCGAGCGUUGUCCGGAAUUAUUGGGCGUAAAGGGUACGCAGGCGGUUUAAUAAGUCGAAUGUUAAAGAUCGGGGCUCAACCCCGCAAAGCAGUGGAAACUGAUAAACUUGAGUAGUGGAGAGGAAAGUGGAAUUCCUAGUGUAGUGGUGAAAUAAGUAGAUAUUAGGAGGAGUACCAGUAGCGAAGGCGACUUUCUGGACACAAACUGACGCUGAGGUACGAAAGCGUGGGGAGCAAACAGG
rnacentral:rRNA from 1 species